GUGCUCACUUCAGCAGCACAUAUACUAAAGUUUCAGCAAUAUGGAGAAGAUUAGCACGGCCUCUGCGAAAGGAUGACAUGCAAAUUCAUGAAGCGAUCCAUAUUUUU